ACUUACGGCCAUACCAGCCUGGGUACGCCCGAUCUCGUCUGAUCUCGGAAGCUAAGCAGGGUCGGGCCUGGUUAGUACUUGGAUGGGAGACCGCCUUGGAAUACCAGGUGCUGUAAGCA
rnacentral:rRNA from 1 species